AUCAUCAUUGUCGAAGUCUCCAUGUUUAAAUGGAAUGCAGCUGCUGCUGCGGCCCUGCGGCAGUUUUCUCGGGCAUGCACGAGUAGUUCAACUGUCUACCAUGACGUCCUUAUAUAGGAGAGAUCAUUAUUGUCACGCUAAACGGAUCAGACUGCUCGGUGACCACGUUUCCUGAUGGUCACCACUACGCAUCAUGGGGCACCAUAAACUCUAGCACAAGUACGAACAAACUGGAGUGGAGCGAUGGCAAACUCCUUGCCAAGAAAACACCAUGAGAAGGACUCAAAGAUGUGCAGAUAGGCACGAGUUCUUCAUGGUGGGAAUCCUGAAGACUGCUACUCUCGGCAGUGCCAUCUAGGAAUUAUUAGGCCAAUGUUAUUGCAAUGGAUGUGAUUUAGCAUUGCUCGUGUUUCCCAAGGGUUUGCUACAAAAGCACCAGGAGACAAGAUGACUUAGCAUCGUAUCGUAUGCAAGUGUGACUGCCCUUUCUGUGAAGGGGUUCGAUGCUGUAGACCGUGCCACG
rnacentral:lncRNA from 1 species